rfam:Stegodyphus mimosarum contig57141, whole genome shotgun sequence.
GUCUUCGUGGUGUAACGGUAGCACAUUCGGCACGUAUUCGAAAUGUCCAGGUUCGAGUCCCAGCGAGGGCA